rnacentral:tRNA from 1 species
GCCUGGGUGGCUCAGUCGGUUAAGCAUCUGACUUUGGCUCAGGUCACGAUCUCGCGGUCCGUGAGUUCGAGCCCCGCGUCAGGCU